CUUCCUCUCUCUCUACUUUCAUUUUCUCUCACGGAGGACCGUGAGCCUAGGAGGCCUCGGCGGCCCUCUUCCCUCUCUUCCUCUCUCUCUACUUUCAUUUUCUCUCAUGAAGGACCGUGAGUCUAGGAGGCCUCGGCGGCCCUCCAGUGGCCACCAUCAGCAUCUCCACCGGCCUUUCUUUCCGUCCCUCCCCCCUCUCUCUUUCUCUCUUCAGUUCAUCCCUCGUUUCUAUGCCGGUUUGGACCCGAUCCAAUCCAAUAUGAGGGUGUACCGACUCGUACCACCAACCAGCCAGCACAAGGUCCUAUUCCAACUCGGCGAGCCUUGCGCCCAUCUAAUAAUUGUCAAUUAGUUAGCAGGUCACUGUUUAACAUAAAGUGGUUAUCAAGUCAAAAUGACCAAAAUAUGAAAAAGUGAUCCAGUCAAUCAAUGAUUGACAAACAUAAGUGACAACUAUGAUUAUUUUC
rnacentral:lncRNA from 1 species